rnacentral:rRNA from 2 species
AUAAUGCAGUCGAACGCACUCUCGUUUAGAUUGAAGGAGCUUGCUCCUGAUUGAUAAACAUUUGAGUGAGUGGCGGACGGGUGAGUAACACGUGGGUAACCUGCCCUAAAGUGGGGGAUAACAUUUGGAAACAGAUGCUAAUACCGCAUAAAACCUAACACCGCAUGGUGUAGGGUUGAAAGAUGGUUUCGGCUAUCACUUUAGGAUGGACCCGCGGUGCAUUAGUUAGUUGGUGAGGUAAAGGCUCACCAAGACCGUGAUGCAUAGCCGACCUGAGAGGGUAAUCGGCCACACUGGGACUGAGACACGGCCCAGACUCCUACGGGAGGCAGCAGUAGGGAAUCUUCCACAAUGGACGAAAGUCUGAUGGAGCAACGCCGCGUGAGUGAAGAAGGUUUUCGGAUCGUAAAACUCUGUUGUUGGAGAAGAAUGUAUCUGAUAGUAACUGAUCAGGUAGUGACGGUAUCCAACCAGAAAGCCACGGCUAACUACGUGCCAGCAGCCGCGGUAAUACGUAGGUGGCAAGCGUUGUCCGGAUUUAUUGGGCGUAAAGCGAGCGCAGGCGGUUUCUUAAGUCUGAUGUGAAAGCCUUCGGCUCAACCGAAGAAGUGCAUCGGAAACUGGGAAACUUGAGUGCAGAAGAGGACAGUGGAACUCCAUGUGUAGCGGUGAAAUGCGUAGAUAUAUGGAAGAACACCAGUGGCGAAGGCGGCUGUCUGGUCUGUAACUGACGCUGAGGCUCGAAAGCAUGGGUAGCAAACAGGAUUAGAUACCCUGGUAGUCCAUGCCGUAAACGAUGAGUGCUAGGUGUUGGAGGGUUUCCGCCCUUCAGUGCCGCAGCUAACGCAUUAAGCACUCCGCCUGGGGAGUACGACCGCAAGGUUGAAACUCAAAGGAAUUGACGGGGGCCCGCACAAGCGGUGGAGCAUGUGGUUUAAUUCGAAGCAACGCGAGAACCU